AUGCUCCCUUCGCAGCACAUACACUAAAAUUGGAUCAAUACAGAGAUUAGCAUGGCCUUUGCACAAGGAGUUUAUCCAAAUUCAUGAAGCGCUUUAUAUUUUA